GAUAUCGGGAAGAACACCAGUGGCGAAGGCGCUCUGCUGGGCCAUUACUGACGCUCAUGGACGAAAGCCAGGGGAGCGAAAGGGAUUAGAUACCCCUGUAGUCCUGGCCGUAAACGAUGAACACUAGGUGUCGGGGGAAUCGACCCCUUCGGUGUCGUAGCUAACGCGUUAAGUGUUCCGCCUGGGGAGUACGCACGCAAGUGUGAAACUCAAAGGAAUUGACGGGGGCCCGCACAAGCGGUGGAGUAUGUGGUUUAAUUCGAUGCAACGCGAAGAACCUUACCAGGGUUUGACAUCCUGCGAACCUCUUAGAAAUUUGAGGGUGCCUUCGGGAAUGCAGUGACAGGUGGUGCAUGGCUGUCGUCAGCUCGUGUCGUGAGAUGUUGGGUUAAGUCCCGCAACGAGCGCAACCCACGUUUUUAGUUGCCAGCAUUUAGUUGGGCACUCUAGAAAGACCGCCGGUGAUAAACCGGAGGAAGGUGUGGAUGACGUCAAGUCAUCAUGCCCCUUACACCCUGGGCUACACACGUACUACAAUGCUACGGACAAAGGGCAGCAAACUCGCGAGAGCUAGCAAAUCCCAUAAACCGUGGCUCAGUUCAGAUCGUAGGCUGCAACUCGCCUACGUGAAGUAGGAAUCGCUAGUAAUCGCAGGUCAGCAUACUGCGGUGAAUACGUUCCCGGGCCUUGUACACACCGCCCGUCACACCAUGGAAGUUGGCCAUGCCCGAAGUCGUUACUCCAACCCUUGUGGAGGAGGACGCCGAAGGUGGGGCUAAUGACUGGGGUGAAGUCAUAACAAGGUAGCCGUA
rnacentral:rRNA from 1 species